UACGUAGGGCGCAAGCGUUAUCCGGAAUUAUUGGGCGUAAAGAGCUCGUAGGCGGUUUGUCGCGUCUGCCGUGAAAGUCCGGGGCUCAACUCCGGAUCUGCGGUGGGUACGGGCAGACUAGAGUGAUGUAGGGGAGACUGGAAUUCCUGGUGUAGCGGUGAAAUGCGCAGAUAUCGGGAGGAACACCAGUGGCGAAGGCGGUUGCCUGGAGCUUUGCUGACGCUGAGGCGCGAAAGCGUGGGGAGCGAUCCGG
rnacentral:rRNA from 1 species